rnacentral:rRNA from 1 species
GACGAACGCUGGCGGCGUGCUUAACACAUGCAAGUCGUACGGUAAGGCCCUUUCGGGGGUACACGAGUGGCGAACGGGUGAGUAACACGUGAGUAACCUGCCCACAACUUUGGGAUAACGCUAGGAAACUGGUGCUAAUACUGGAUAUGUGCUCCUGCUGCAUGGUGGGGGUUGGAAAGCUCCGGCGGUUGUGGAUGGACUCGCGGCCUAUCAGCUUGUUGGUGGGGUAGUGGCCUACCAAGGCGGCGACGGGUAGCCGGCCUGAGAGGGUGACCGGCCACAUUGGGACUGAGAUACGGCCCAGACUCCUACGGGAGGCAGCAGGGGGGAAUAUUGCACAAUGGGCGCAAGCCUGAUGCAGCAACGCCGCGUGCGGGAUGACGGCCUUCGGGUUGUAAACCGCUUUCAGUAGGGACGAAGCUUUUUGUGACGGUACCUGCAGAAGAAGCACCGGCUAACUACGUG